rnacentral:rRNA from 1 species
AUUGAACGCUGGCGGCAGGCCUAACACAUGCAAGUCGAACGAGUGGCGGACGGGUGAGUAAUGUCUGGAAAACUGCCUGAUGGGGGGGGAUAACAACUGGAAAGGGUAGCUAAUACCGCAUACCGUCGGAGUUGCCCAUCUGGGAUUAGCUGGUGGGGGGGGUAAAGGCUCACCUAGGCGACGAUCCAUAGCUGGGCUGAGAGGAUGACCGGCCACACUGGAACGGAGACACGGUCCAGACUCCUACGGGAGGCAGCAGUGGGGAAGAUUGCACAAUGGGCGCAAGCCUGAUGCAGCCAUGCCGCGUGUAUGAAGAAGGCCUUCGGGUUGGAAAGGACUUUCAGCGGGGAGGCGUUACCCGCAGAAGAAGCACCGGCUAACUCCGUGCCAGCAGCCGCGGUAAUUC